CUACGGGGGGCACCAGUGGGGAAUAUUGCACAAUGGGCGCAAGCCUGAUGCAGCCAUGCCGCGUGUAUGAAGAAGGCCUUCGGGUUGUAAAGUACUUUCAGCGGGGAGGAAGGGAGUAAAGUUAAUACCUUUGCUCAUUGACGUUACCCGCAGAAGAAGCACCGGCUAACUCCGUGCCAGCAGCCGCUGUAAUACGGAGGGUGCAAGCGUUAAUCGGAAUUACUGGGCGUAAAGCGCACGCAGGCGGUUUGUUAAGUCAGAUGUGAAAUCCCCGGGCUCAACCUGGGAACUGCAUCUGAUACUGGCAAGCUUGAGUGUCGUAGAGGGGGGUAGAAUUCCAGGUGUAGCGGUGAGAUGCGUAGAGAUCUGGAGGAAUACCGGUGGCGAAGGCGGCCCCCUGGACGAAGACUGACGCUCAGGUGCGAAAGCGUGGGGAGCAAACAGGAUUAGAUACCCUCGUAGUC
rnacentral:rRNA from 1 species